GCGAUUCCAGCUUCAUGCACUCGAGUUGCAGAGUGCAAUCCGGACUACGAUCGGUUUUCUGGGAUUAGCUCCCCCUCGCGGGUUGGCAACCCUCUGUUCCGACCAUUGUAUGACGUGUGAAGCCCUACCCAUAAGGGCCAUGAGGACUUGACGUCAUCCCCACCUUCCUCCGGUUUGUCACCGGCAGUCUCCUUAGAGUGCUCUUGCGUAGCAACUAAGGACAAGGGUUGCGCUCGUUGCGGGACUUAACCCAACAUCUCACGACACGAGCUGACGACAGCCAUGCAGCACCUGUGUAUCGGUUCUCUUUCGAGCACUCCCACCUCUCAGCAGGAUUCCGACCAUGUCAAGGGUAGGUAAGGUUUUUCGCGUUGCAUCGAAUUAAUCCACAUGCUCCACCGCUUGUGCGGACCCCCGCCAAUUCCUUUGAGUUUCAACCUUGCGGUCGUACUUCCCAGGUGGGAUACUUAAUGCUUUCGCUCAGACACACACGGUGUAUUGCGUAUGUCGAGUAUCCAUCGUUUAGGGCGU
rnacentral:rRNA from 1 species